GACGAACGCUGGCGGCGUGCUUAACACAUGCAAGUCGAACGGAAAGGCCCUGCUUUUGUGGGGUGCUCGAGUGGCGAACGGGUGAGUAACACGUGAGUAACCUGCCCUUGACUUUGGGAUAACUCCAGGAAACUGGGGCUAAUACCGGAUAGGAGCUCCUGCUGCAUGGUGGGGGUUGGAAAGUUUCGGCGGUUGGGGAUGGACUCGCGGCUUAUCAGCUUGUUGGUGGGGUAGUGGCUUACCAAGGCUUUGACGGGUAGCCGGCCUGAGAGGGUGACCGGCCACAUUGGGACUGAGAGACGGCCCAGACUCCUACGGGAGGCAGAAGUGGGGAAUAUUGCACAAUGGGCGGAAGCCUGAUGCAGCAACGCCGCGUGCGGGAUGACGGCCUUCGGGUUGUAAACCGCUUUCGCCUGUGACGAAGCGUGAGUGACGGUAAUGGGUAAAGAAGCACCGGCUAACUACGUG
rnacentral:rRNA from 1 species